AAUCAAAUCAAUCGAGUCGUUUUUCGCCUCCAAGUGAAGGACAAUACCGCCAUGGUGGAUGCUUUAAAAUAUCGGCCCUUGACGAUUUACUUGAAACUCCGCAGUAAAAUAACGAAGAUAAAUUCAACACAAGUGAACAGUGCUCAUUGAUACACUGGUAUGUGCAAGCUGCACAUAACGUCACAUCCAUGCUGCGAUGCUUGUCCAAUGGAGGCCAUUGAGAGGCCCAAUACACACGAUUGUGGAGGUGUACGUAGUGCAUGUGCAGCACUGCAGUGCCAUUGCGGUGUGAUUUGCUGCAUAUAGGAAGUGAGUUCUAAUAAGUAUACGGAGUGGGUACGCAUGCGUUAACUGAUUUAAACGAAUGCAUUCAUCUUGUGUGGUGCAAUACGGCUUCGUCAUAUUCCAUUUUUCCGGAAGGUUUAUUAUUGUUUACAAUGCAUGUGAGAUUCGUUGGAAAGCGAAUUUAAUGUCGUCGUAAAUGAGAAUGCGAACCACUUUCGUUCGAAACUCUCAUUCGUCAUAAACAAGAAUAAGGGUGACCAUAUGACGUCAUCAGAUUAUCUUUUCAGUGAAAAUGGAAUUGCGUAGUGACGAAGCCGCACGUCACCUUACUUUAGCAUAAAUCAGUCAACGCAGAUGUACCAUAGGGGUGGUACGAUGAAAAGGCUCCAAGCACACGGUGAAGCAAAUUAUAGCGUAGGUGGCAUUGUAGAAUCUAAGCUGUUCAAGGUGAAUGUAUUGGAUUUCGACGAGAAUGUUUAAGGCGGUAGUUCUUUUUCGAUCCAGUGUUGAAGAUCGUAAUUUACAGUUCAUAAAAUGAAAAAAAGAUC